rnacentral:rRNA from 1 species
GACGGGGCCCGCACAAGCGGCGGAGCAUGCGGAUUAAUUCGAUGCAACGCGAAGAACCUUACCAAGGCUUGACAUACACCGGUAACGCCCAGAGAUGGGUGCCCCUUUGUGGUCGGUGUACAGGUGGUGCAUGGUUGUCGUCAGCUCGUGUCGUGAGAUGUUGGGUUAAGUCCCGCAACGAAGCGCAACCCUCGUCCUAUGUUGCCAGCGGGUCAUGCCGGGGACUCAUGGGAGACUGCCGGGGUCAACUCGGAGGAAGGUGGGGAUGACGUCAAAUCAUCAUGCCCCUUAUGUCUCGGGCUUCACGCAUGCUACAAUGGCCGGUACAAAGGGCUGCGAUACCGCGAGGUGGAGCGAAUCCCAGAAAGCCGGUCUCAGUUCGGAUUGGGGUCUGCAACUCGACCCCAUGAAGUCGGAGUCGCUAGUAAUCGCAGAUCAGCAACGCUCGCGGUCCGAAUACGUUCCGGGCCUU